UUGGCGGUGAAUUCCCAGAUGCCGUCGUCGUGGGUGAGGGUGGUUUCGCCGAAGUGGUCGCCGUCGGCGAGGGUGCCGAGGACGACUUGGUCGCCGUAGGCGCCGGUGCCGAUUUUGGUGAUUUUGCCGUGGGCGAGGAGGAAGACCUGGUCGGCGGGGGAGCCGAAUUCGACGAGGGCGUCGCCGGGGGCGUAUUCGUGUUGGGUGAAGCGGUCGGCGAGUUCGGUGAGGACGUCUUGGUCGUCGUAGCCGCGUAGGGGGGCGAGUUCGCCGAGUUCGGGGGGGAUGACGCGGACGUGGGCGCCGGUGGUGGUGAAGGUGACGCGGCCGUCGCCGACGGCGUAGGAGAGGCGGCGGUUGACGCGGUAGGCGCCGGCGGCGACGUCGACCCAGGGGAGGAGUUUGAGCAGCCAGCGGGAGGAGAUGCCCUGCAUCUGGGGGACGGAUUUGGUGGUGGUGGCCAGUGUCCGGGCCGCCGCCCGUCCCAGGCUCGACGGUGCCUGCUCGG
rfam:Amycolatopsis mediterranei S699, complete genome.